GAAAAAAAUUGUGCAAGAAAAAAUCAUGGUUGCAAUGAGAAUAUCUAUUCAAGUGCCCAAAACUCACUAUUCGAUCAUUGCAACAAUGUCUGAGAUGACUCCAUCCACUCUGUGUUGAUACC